GUCCUUCUGAGCUCACUUCCGCCGGCUUGAGUCGGAUCGCUGUUCUUUUACUGUCUCUCACUGCUUUUGUUCUCCCAUUUCUAACCAGCCACCGCUGCUGAAAAGAGGGAACCAGCAGGUUGGGAAACCACAAAGACGCAAAGUAGCGGACCAGUCCGUCGCAGAAACGCCUGGUAGCCACAUGCAAAGCGCCGUCUGCACAGAGGAUACGCGGCACUCCGUAGUUACAUAACUGGACUACUUUUUUUCUAUUAUUGUUGGGUUUUUUUUUCACGCUUUUUUGUUGCACCGAAACUGACUCCCUCUCUCUUAACUCAAAAUGGAGAACGACGACAAAUAUCUCCCCGAGCUGCUGGCGGAGAAGGACAGCCUGGACUCGUCGUUCACGCACGCCAUGAAACUUUUAAACACAGAAAUUGAUAGAAUCCAGAAAGGCGAGACUAAAAAGGAGGCAGAAGCAUACCUGGACCUUUUCACAACAAAGAACAUCAAACUUAAGGAACGAGUGCUCAUACCUGUCAAACAGUACCCUAAGUUCAAUUUCGUGGGGAAGAUUUUGGGACCUCAGGGCAAUACAAUCAAACGUCUGCAGGAAGAGACCGGAGCCAAGAUCUCUGUGCUGGGCAAAGGAUCCAUGAGAGACAAAUCCAAGGAGGAGGGGCUGAGGAAAGGCGGCGAGCCCAAGUACGCCCACUUGUCUAUGGAGCUGCACGUAUUCAUCGAGGUGUUUGCGCCCGUGCCAGAGGCUUACCUGCGCAUGGCCCACGCCAUGGAGGAGGUCAAGAAGUUCCUGUUUCCUGAUAUGAUGGAUGAUAUCUGCCAAGAGCAGUUCAUGGAGAUGAGCUACCUGAACGGAGGCCAGGAGCACGGAGCCCGAGUCCGAGGGGGCAUGCCGGUCAGGGGCCGCGGAGUCCCUCCUGCUGGAGCACACAGGGGUAGGGGAAUGCCUCCUCGUGGUGCUCCCGCCAGGGGAGGUGUCACUCGAGGUGGCCCAGCAAGAGGUGGCGCAGUGAGGGGUGCCCCAACAGGCCGAGGAGGACCUCCUGCAGCACCCGCCAGGGGAGCCGUGGCACCCCGUGCCAGGCCCCCAGCUGGUGGACCCCCCCAGAGGAUGGCGCCGCCCCCCCACCAGCACACCCCUGCUGCAGCUGCUGAGAGCUACGAGGAAUAUGGCUACGAUGAGAGCUACACAGACACGGCCUACGACUCAUACGACAGCUAUUACAGUCAGCCGCAGGCAGAACCAGAAUACUAUGACUACGGACACGGAGAGACUGCAGAGUCGUACGAGUCCUAUGGCCAGGAUGACUGGAACGGGACCCAGCGAACGGUUCCAGGGAAGGCCCUUCCACCCUCCAGAGGUGCCAAGACGCCUUACCGGGAGCACCCAUACCGACAGUACUGAAGUGGACUCACCACCUUUAACGUGUCGCCCUGACUACCGCCUGUCUACCACGGCAUCUCUCGCUUUAAGAAGCCCGACAAAAGCACAGCUAUCGGUCACUGAGUGCCCCGGAGACUGACAGUCUGCUGAAGUGCGAGCAUUCAAACCUCAGUGAAGCCGUGCACAGGAGCAGCUCAGCGUGAAGGAGGUGGUCAGACCAAGCUCUCGGGGGAGGGGAGGGGUGGGUGCGGGUGCGCCCUGUUGAAAGGAGUGGCCCAGUUCUGUUCCUGGCAGGGAGUUGGGGGGUGGGUGUUGUGGUGGCUGGCUGCCAAGUGACCCACAGGAGCCAGCUGAUGUAGCGCAAGGGGGGGGGCAGGAGAGAGGGAGAGAGAGAGAGAGAGAGACGAGCUGGAACAGGACUAAGGCUGCAGCUGGUCAGCGAAGACGUUCAGCUCACUAGGAAUCCUAAAGAGACUGACAAUCAGCUUUCAUUUUAUGUGGACUGUUUUCUACUUUUUCUGCAUUUUAUGUCAGUAUUGAAUUUCUGUGCAUUAUCCUCGUGUAAUUAAUUUCUAACAUUGAAUACGCCCACUUGCAUCCUUUACUGAUUGCAUGCUGCUCUACACAGCUUCCACGGACCACCCUCUUUUCCAACAAAUGUAAUUGUUACAGACUAAUUUACCAUAAAAUGAGCACUCCUGUUAUAGUAGGCUGUGAAAUUGUUUUAAAUUUCUAUUAACCCUUGAAUUAGACAAGAAAAGAACUACUACUUUCUGCAAAGCAAGCUGUAUUCAUCCAAUCAAGGGGGAAUUGUGUGACAUCUGCGUAUUAAGCGCUCUGGCUGUGUGUUGUUUAGUACCCGUGCCUUAUAGCCGCUUGAAAUUAGACUCAGUGCUUGAGAGUUAAAGACGCCCGGAAGAGGGUGGAUCGCUAUCUCGCUGUGGCCGAGUUCACCGCGAGCUCACACACACACACACACACACACGCGCGACGCCACCGCCGCCGCCGCCGCCGCCGCCACAUCUUGGCAUUGCACGGCCCUGUGUAGCCCCGAGGAUAUCAAAUGCUAAUGCAGCGGGCCUAUUUGCAUGUACUCUCAUGUACCCUCCCUGCAAAUGUGCAAAACACUUUCAUAACCAACGCUGGCCUGUUCUCUGCGGUUCAGCAUCCAAGUAUGAUAAUUUGGCGCGAUGGACCCAGGAGGGAGAGCUGCAUGUGAGAAAGGGACAGAGGGUGAAGACAGACAUUACUAACUUGCCUCCAUCUAUCCAUCAUGCUUCUGUUGAUUUGAUUCCCCUCCAUGCCAUUUUCUGCUAUUAUCACUGAUGAUAUUACAGCCGCCUGUGGUGCCGAGUUACAUUUAGAGGUCAGAACUGUACUUUCCUGUAUUAAAAACGCAUUUCUCUGUACCGUUUCACUGGUCAGAGGCAGCAUUAGCCAAGUCAGAGGCUCCAUUUAGCUUAUUGAAAAAGCUAGCAGCUUAGAGGAUAGAACAUUAGAUAUUAGGAUAGAAACCAUCAUUUGAGAUGAAAUGUCAACGGGCCAUAUCCAAAACAGAUCAUUUUUCAGUCUUUAUGUGCUAUUAUGUCCAAAAUAAUGAUUUCUGUGUCUCCGAUAAUCUAAUGAAAGAUAAGUGAUGGUGUGGAAGCCGUCUCCUCUGUUUGAAUCGAUGAACUGUCAAGAGUGUAAGGGUGGAAAAGAAAGUAAAUGUUACUGUGCAAUGAUCAAUAAAAGUAGACUUGAAUAUGA